AAAUGGAAAUUAUAUCACCUGCUGGUGUGAUGCCUUCCUGAACCACAGACCCAGUUGUAAGGUCACCUCACCCACAGCCCUGGGGGCAAACACCACUAGGUCCUAAAGAAACACUGAAUGUAAUGAGCACCCAGACCCUGCAAGCCUGAGGAUGCUCCAAGGUGGAAGCUUGAAGGGCUCUCCCAGCAGGAAAAGUCAUCUCUUCCUUCAGUGGAGGCAAGAAGUUGGAGGGCAGUGAAAGGAGCUGGGCUCUGGAGUCAGCACCCUGGUUGGCCUCCCCGCUCUCUAGCCGUAUGGUCUUGGGCACAUUGCCUAACCUCUCUCAGAAAAUGGAAGGCACAAGUAGUACCUGCUUUGCUGGAUUGUUUUCAGACAAUUAAAUCAUCACUGUAAAGCAUGUAACUCAAACAUUGUCAAUAAGUGGUGGUUCUUAUUGUCAUUUUUUUACCCAAUCAUUUAAUCAUUAAAUAAAAUGAUUGGGUUACUUAGCUUUCUGAUUACAAAGUAUUUUAAUUAUUUAUCUAAAAAGCUGCAGAAGAGUAUGGACUGAAUAGUCAAGCACAUCAGCUUCAAAGACCUGAGUUUAAGUCAUAUAACCAUUUUUAAAUCACUCCUUGGUCUUUUUUAUUUUUUUUAAGUAUUUGUAGCAACAAUAAUUGAUAGUCCAUUUAUUUGAUUAAUUUUUGUAUGAGGAACAUACAGAAGUUGAUCUUUAGGAUUCAGUGGUGACCCUGACUUCUGUGUCAUACAACCUCCUUCCUUAAUCUUCUUUAAAAGCUGCCUGAACUGUUCUCUGCAAGGCUCAAGGAUCAAUUUUUGUUGAUUUUGUUUAUACUGUAGAAGAUGAUGCCAGACUUCAAGCACUGAAAGACAUGCUUCUUUUGAAGAGAGCCCGAGCAAGACUUCACAGUAGACAUAGUUUAUCCUUUUUACUGUCAUCAGCAAAUAAAGAAGCCAGCAUUAUCUCCAAUAGCCUCAAACUGGAAACAGCCCAAGGGUCCAACAGGUUGGGACCAGUUUUCACAAAGCAAUGGAAUAUAAUUGUAUUGAUCCAACCACCAGAGGUUUAUAAAAUAAUAAAGAGGGAUAGGAUCUUCUAAAUUGUAGCUGUUAUAAGGAUUUGAGCUUGAUCCCCAAGAGUACACUUUUUCAAUAUGUUUUGAUUUUAAAAUACAUGUAUUAAUAUGUGGUAUUUGUUUUUCUCUUCCUGACUUACUUCACUCUAUAUGACAGACUCUAGAUCUAUCCACAUCCAGAAAAACGGCACAGAUGAACCUAUUUCCAGGGCAGGAAUAGAGAUGCAGACAUAGAGAAUGGAUAUGUGGACACAGUGGGGGCAGGAGAAGGUGUGGGACAAA
rnacentral:lncRNA from 1 species